UACGUAGGGGGGCAAGCGUUGUCCGGAAUUAUUGGGCGUAAAGAGCGUGUAGGCGGCCAGAUAAGUCCGCUGUGAAAUCUCGAGGCUCAACUUCGAGCUGUCGGUGGAAACUAUCUGGCUAGAGUCCGGAAGAGGAGAAUGGAAUUCCUGGUGUAGCGGUGAAAUGCGUAGAUAUCAGGAGGAACACCGGUGGCGAAGGCGGGGUCUCUGGGGCCGAAAACUGACGCUGAGGAGCGAAAAGCGUGGGGGAGCGAAACAGG
rnacentral:rRNA from 1 species